UUUUUUUUAUCAGAAACGAAGUUAUUAUUUUAGCCUUAUACUUUUAUAACGUAUGAGAAAAACGCGAUGAGGAUUAUUGAGCAAUCAAUAAUUAUUAUUUCAGAUUAUAACUGACUUAGCAAAGUCAUGUUAUUUAUUAAGUGCAAUAGAAAUAUUAUUUCUAUUAUUUACUUGAAGUCGUGAUUAAUUUUCGACUUAUAAAACGAGUUAUAUAAUAUGUAAUUCGUAGAGAGUUAUAACGAAGCUUCGUUAUAUGGGAACCCGAAAUUAGUAUUACAAAUACAGAAUGAGGAUUUUAUAAUAAUUACAUCACAACUUUACAACUUAUUAUUCCCUACAUCCCUAUUUCAUACCUACUUCAUCAAGAAGGCAAACCAAACGUGUACUAGGUGUGUGCAGAAUAGCUUUACAGCAAUUUUACCACCUAGAGAGUUUUUUUUAAGCCACCCUACGACAGCACCAUCCACUCCACCAAACUUCCCACCACUCUUUGCUCCCCACCAUCUUCAAUUCUUUAAGACUACUAGUUCCUUCAACCACCAAAGGGAGGAGAAUUCAAUUACUGCUGCCAAACUUCGAACAGGUAAGGUUUGGUUUAAGUUUUUCCACCAGUCCAUUCUUGAUUCCUCUGCAUAUGUCAAUAAGCAUCUGAAAAUUUCAGCUAUCUCCUCAUUAAAUUCAAUAGCAACAAACAGCCACCAACAACAAGCAAUUACAGGUCAAGCGCGAGAGUAAGAACUACACAAGGAGUUAGAGUACCUUAGCAAAACUUUGCUAUCAGGUUGAGCUGUGAUGGGCGAUGAAGUGUUGUUGCUGAGUGGAGUUUUUGUCGAACUUAAAGUAGGCUCAGAAAGGAUACAUGUCUUCAUACAUGUAUCUUAGUUAUGCAUUCCGCUGUAAACACUGAUUAUUUCAGUUACACCUUCCGUUGCAAACUCUGAUAAUGUUUUAGCCAAGCCCCUAAAAAUGCCUUUUUUUCCUUUUAAGAAAAAUAACGCGUAUACAAGUUCUUUGAGUACCCUUUUUAUGCGAACUAUGCCUUUUUUCCUUUUUAAGGAAUAUUUCACGCGUAUUCAAGCUCUUUGAGUAUUCUUUUAUACACCCCUUUCUAAACCCGCUUCUUAAUUUCCCUUCCCCAGUCAUGGUUUUCCCGGAUUAAUUAUCCUUAAUUAAGGCCGGUCGUGACAGAGUGGUAUCAGAGCAGUUCGUUUGCUCUGAGCCUAAGAGUUUAUUUAAGCCAAACUUAGAAUGGAUCACUAAAGUGUCUAGAGUUCAAUCGACAAAGCUCAGCACUUCAUCGUAUCACACUCAACGAAGCAGAAUGGUAUGCUCUUCCAAGUUUUGAGUUAAUGUUUACAAAAAGUGAAAAUUAUCGUAAUAGCAAAGUGAGUAACUGUUAAUAACUAUGUUAUGUUGUUAUUGAAUGAAAUGAUUUACGCAAGCGCGAUUAAGUAUGCCUAUGGAAUGAAUCCCUAUGAACAUAGAGCUAUUAAGAUAUGAGAUCACACUACGACAGAACAUAGAAGCAAACAUAGAAAAAAAUUAGAUUGUAUCUUUUGGUGGCUAUAGUGAAGGAAGCAAGAUAAGUGAUACGUAUAGAAUAAUUCUUAAGCUCAUGAUUUUAUAGCCGCUAUAAAUCUCCAUGACUUAUGCCUAAGUAUCCAAUUUAGAUGAUGAGAUAUUAUAUGCUUAAGGAUUGUUAUGACUCAUAGAUUUGAGAUGCUAAGGACCCUUAAAGCUUACUACAUCAAUGUUGUCAUUGGAGUUAUGACUUGUUUACAAGUUAGAAUAAGUUAACCUGUACAAGAAUUCUUUUGAGGCUUGUAUUAGAUUAUGCUAGAGUGUACUAAUUGGCACAAACUUUGCUAUCAGAAUGCCGCCUAAGAGAGGACGCCCUGCGAGAAACAAUAACAAUCGCAGAAAUCGUAACGCUGUACCCGAAGAACCACAAGAUACUCGAGGACAUAACCCAUCCCCUCCGCCCCCGACUAGGAGAGUCGAAGAACUCUUUUUAAGGCAAAACCCACCUACGUUUGACGGAACGAGUGAACCGGCUGAAGCUGAGAUUUGGGUGCGUGCAAUGGAACGCAUUUUCAACUUUCUACGUUGUACUGAUGAGGAGCGCCUAUCUUGUGUCUCAUUCCAGCUAACAGGAUCAGCUGACUUCUGGUGGGAAGCACGUCGAAAAAUUCUGACACCUGAACAAUGGGCAAGUUAUACUUGGGAAGAUUUUAAGACAGGAUUAUAUGAUAAAUAUAUUCCGAAAAGUUAUAGAAAGAAGAAAGAAGCUGAGUUCUACGAGUUGAAGCAAGGAAAGAAAUCUGUGGUUGAAUACGACAAGGAAUUCUGCAACCUGUCAAGGUUUGCUCCACAACAAGUGGACACAGAGGGGAAGAUGGCAGAGAAAUUUUGUGCCGGACUGCGGUACGAAAUUAAGAUGGCUCUAGCAAGCCACGGAGGACUCUCAUACACGGAGUCUCUGAACAGGGCACUUGACGUUGAAGCUGCAAUGCCGUCGGACAAGUCAGCCUCAUCAUUGAUCUCGACGCCAAACGACCCACCAGCAGCCUCACAUACGCUCAAAGGGAAACGCAAGUGGGACAACAAUGAAGACAAUAUCAAUCAGACUAAUAAGACAAUGUCGCAAGAAAAUAAACGGGCUGAACAGUAUGUUCAACAAAGGCACGAGGCACAGACUAAUCUCGAGUCAAUUGGGGGUAGCCAAAGUCAGAAAGGAAUUUCACCUUGCCCAAAUUGCGGUAAGAUGCAUAGGGGUAUCUGUCGGGCUGGAACUAAAGAUUGUUACAAUUGUGGCCAAAAAGGUCACUACUCCACGCAAUGCCCCAACAGACAACGAGGUUCAGCAAUUGGGAACACCCGCACCCUCUUGCCAGCAAUACGUGGACACUUGCGAAAUCAGCCUAAAUCACAUCAGUGAAAAUCUUAUGGAGACACCGCAAAUAAGAGAAGCUACGUGGAAAUUUGAAGACAAGAUGAAGGAAAAAUACCCAGAACUAUUUUAGCAGAGAUAUGCAAAUUUCGGGACGAAAUUUUUGUUAAGAGGGGUAGUAUGUAAUGACCCGCAUUUUUAUUUUUAUUUAAUAUGGUAUCGCGAUAGUUAAUAUCGCAUCUUUCAGUAAAUGAAACCCAGCUGCCAGUUAUAUAUAUGAAUCCAGUUUAUGGUCCUGAUUUUUUUUAUCAGAAACGAAGUUAUUAUUUUAGCCUUAUACUUUUAUAACGUAUGAGAAAAACGCGAUGAGGAUUAUUGAGCAAUCAAUAAUUAUUAUUUCAGAUUAUAACUGACUUAGCAAAGUCAUGUUAUUUAUUAAGUGCAAUAGAAAUAUUAUUUCUAUUAUUUACUUGAAGUCGUGAUUAAUUUUCGACUUAUAAAACGAGUUAUAUAAUAUGUAAUUCGUAGAGAGUUAUAACGAAGCUUCGUUAUAUGGGAACCCGAAAUUAGUAUUACAAAUACAGAAUGAGGAUUUUAUAAUAAUUACAUCACAACUUUACAACUUAUUAUUCCCUACAUCCCUAUUUCAUACCUACUUCAUCAAGAAGGCAAACCAAACGUGUACUAGGUGUGUGCAGAAUAGCUUUACAGCAAUUUUACCACCUAGAGAGUUUUUUUUAAGCCACCCUACGACAGCACCAUCCACUCCACCAAACUUCCCACCACUCUUUGCUCCCCACCAUCUUCAAUUCUUUAAGACUACUAGUUCCUUCAACCACCAAAGGGAGGAGAAUUCAAUUACUGCUGCCAAACUUCGAACAGGUAAGGUUUGGUUUAAGUUUUUCCACCAGUCCAUUCUUGAUUCCUCUGCAUAUGUCAAUAAGCAUCUGAAAAUUUCAGCUAUCUCCUCAUUAAAUUCAAUAGCAACAAACAGCCACCAACAACAAGCAAUUACAGGUCAAGCGCGAGAGUAAGAACUACACAAGGAGUUAGAGUACCUUAGCAAAACUUUGCUAUCAGGUUGAGCUGUGAUGGGCGAUGAAGUGUUGUUGCUGAGUGGAGUUUUUGUCGAACUUAAAGUAGGCUCAGAAAGGAUACAUGUCUUCAUACAUGUAUCUUAGUUAUGCAUUCCGCUGUAAACACUGAUUAUUUCAGUUACACCUUCCGUUGCAAACUCUGAUAAUGUUUUAGCCAAGCCCCUAAAAAUGCCUUUUUUUCCUUUUAAGAAAAAUAACGCGUAUACAAGUUCUUUGAGUACCCUUUUUAUGCGAACUAUGCCUUUUUUCCUUUUUAAGGAAUAUUUCACGCGUAUUCAAGCUCUUUGAGUAUUCUUUUAUACACCCCUUUCUAAACCCGCUUCUUAAUUUCCCUUCCCCAGUCA